rnacentral:rRNA from 1 species
AUUGAACGCUGGCGGCAGGCCUAACACAUGCAAGUCGAGCGGAUGACGGGAGCUUGCUCCUUGAUUCAGCGGCGGACGGGUGAGUAAUGCCUAGGAAUCUGCCUGGUAGUGGGGGACGACGUUUCGAAAGGAACGCUAAUACCGCAUACGUCCUACGGGAGAAAGCAGGGGACCUUCGGGCCUUGCGCUAUCAGAUGAGCCUAGGUCGGAUUAGCUAGUUGGUGGGGUAAUGGCUCACCAAGGCGACGAUCCGUAACUGGUCUGAGAGGAUGAUCAGUCACACUGGAACUGAGACACGGUCCAGACUCCUACGGGAGGCAGCAGUGGGGAAUAUUGGACAAUGGGCGAAAGCCUGAUCCAGCCAUGCCGCGUGUGUGAAGAAGGUCUUCGGAUUGUAAAGCACUUUAAGUUGGGAGGAAGGGCAGUAAGCUAAUACCUUGCUGUUUUGACGUUACCGACAGAAUAAGCGCCGGCUAACUCUGUGCCAGCAGCCGCAGUAA